rnacentral:lncRNA from 1 species
GUCGUGCAGACGUCGUAGAACUACAAGCACAAAAGUGAGAUGGAAAUACUGUUCGAAGGACAUAGCAUUUGCACUGGCCUCUAUAUGCGAUUCAAUCAAGUUAAGACCAUUUUAAUUCAUGUAUUUAUUUAUAUUAUUUCAUUCUGUAUUGCAAGUAUUUUUCGUUAAUAAAAAUUUAGAAUUUCAAGUUAUGUUAUUUUUAUUUAUUUUUGAAUUGUUCUCCAACACCAUCAAAAUUGCAUUUCUCACCAUCAAUCAAACUACUAUUGUUUCUCUCUUUUGCCAAAUUUGCAGAUAACCCAAAACGCAACUUACCCACAUUUUCUUUCCCUGCGCUCACCUCAUCACAAUACACAAAAACCAGCUUCUGGGUCUCUCUACUUUCUACAAGCUGAUCAAACCCUGAACUUUUCAAACCAUUUCGGUCCGAACCCAUUUGAGAAACCGGGCCCGGCGACCGGAUAACGAACCGGGAUUCAAAACUAACAUCAUAAACAGUAACUACACUGAGAUUUUUGAGUCCUAAUGUAGCAAUCCUAGCGGAAUUAAGUGGGUGGUUCUUCUCUAGGCUGUGUUGAAGAAUGGUGACGUUUACAGAGUUAUGGAGCCCAGGGCUCUCAAUCCGAGUGCAGAGGCAGAGCCGGACCGGUUUGGAGCACGACUGGCAUAUAGGUCGUUUGGAAGCGGGCUGAGUAGUCACCAUUUUUAGGGUUUGAAGGAGAAAGGAAGGGUUUUGGAGAAGUGAGCAGAAAUUGUUGUUUCGGGUCCGAGAACCGAACAAGCAUCAAUAGGUUCGAGUGGCCAUAGUAGGAAAUGAAAAAGUUGAGUCAAUCAGUGAUAAGACGACGGGUAGCUUAAUGUUUUACAAGACGACGUGUCGUUUUAUAUAAAGUCGUUAAUGAAUAUGUAGAAUUAGAUUGGAUUAUUACAAAUGGCAAUGUUUUACUCACUAAAGAAAUUUAUUUUAUUUGAACUUUUCCAAAAUGGAAUUAUAAGAAUGGUUUUAAGUUUUUUUUUCGAUAUGAAAAAUCAUUCCCUUCAGCAUUUAAUAUAUUCUGAAUAUGAUGAAUUAUUCAUUCCAAUUCAAUCAUAGAGACCAAAUAAAGAUCAUACUUUCAAAAUAAGUUAGUUCAUCCAAGAGUAGCCACAAGAAGUUUAAGCAAUUUUGAAAAAAUAGUCGAGCUACAGUCAUCAUGAAGUGGCUCAGUGGUUUGAGACGAAUUUCUGACCAUAUAUUCACACGACAUGUCCUGAAUUCGAUUCCUCACGCUUGUGAAUUACACGAUGGUGACUAGAGAGGAGCCGAAAUGCCUCGAUGAGUCCCUUUGACCCGAAAAAGUUUGACUGCCAUGCGUGAUAUGUACAUAAAUCUUAAAAAAAUUCAUAAUGAGGUAAAUCACUCGUUUUAUAAAUUAAUUUGGGUAUAACAUAAAUUUCUUUUUAAUAACAAAUAAGUAUCCUUAUCAUCGAACAAAUAUCAUACUUUAAUAUAUCAUGAAUAUAGUGAAUUAUUCAUUUCAAUUUAAUUAUAACGACCAAAUAAAUAUCAUACUUUUAUUAUAGUAAGCUAGCUCACCAAAGAGUAGCCACAAGUUAAGCAAUUUUGAAAAAAAUAGUCCACAACCAUCACAGGAUGGCUCAAUACUUGAGAGCGAAUUCUUAGCUUGUAUAUCAUACAACAUGUUCUGCAUUCAAUUUUUUGCGCUGAUGAAUCACACGAUAGUGACUAAAAUGAGGUUAAAAUACUUCUGUGAGUCUUCUCAACUCCUAAAAAGAUGAAAUGUCAUGGCUUAAGCUACUCUCUUUGUAGUAAGAAGAGGUCGUCCAUUUUAUCAAUUAAUUUUAGGUGUAACAUAAUUUCCUUUUUAUAAUAAGGAAAACUAACGAAAAGUCUUCAAAAACUAUAGUUUUAAUCAAAUGACAAAAUAAAGGUAUAAGUGAAUAGUACCAUGAGUGACUUUUCAAAGUAAAAAUAUCAUUUUCGUUAAAAGUGAAAAGAAUCAGGAAUGUUUCAUUAAGAUUCUCAUAAUAAGGAAAUGGAUCAUCUUCGAAUCCCUUCCACCAAAUCCACCAAUCCAGCUUUUAAAAUUUGAUUCAACAGCUAAAAAGAGGGUUUUUUUUAAAAGUUAUAAUACUUUAGCUGUUAGAUCAAAUUCCAAAGAUUUGAUGGAUUUAAUGGAUUUGAUGAAAGGUAUCCUCCAUUAUAAUAUCAUAACAGCUAAUCUUGAAACGAUCAAAUUAAACUCAGUGGUUGAAAAAUAAAA